rnacentral:rRNA from 1 species
GACGAACGCUGGCGGCGUGCUUAACACAUGCAAGUCGAACGGGAGUAUUGAAGAAGCUUGCUUUAGAGAUACUUUAGUGGCGGACGGGUGAGUAACGCGUGAGGAGCUGUCCGAUGCAGGGGGACAACAGUUGGAAACGACUGCUAAUACCCCAUAAGCCGAGAGGUAAAAGGAUUUAUCCGGCAAUGGAGGUACUCGCGUCCUAUCAGCUAGUAGGUGAGGUAACGGCUCACCUAGGCGAAGACGGGUAGCCAGCCUGAGAGGGCGAAGGGCCACCCUGGAACUGGGAUACGGUCCAGACUCCUACGGGAGGCAGCAGUGGGGAAUAUUGGGCAAUGGGGGGAACCCUGACCCAGCGACGCCGCGUGGGUGAAGAAAUCCUUCGGGAUGUAAAGCCCUGUUGUAUGGGAAGAGCGGAAGACGGUACCAUACGAGGAAGCCCCGGCAAACUACGUGCCAGCCGCCGCCGUAA